GUUCCCAGGCUAGGGGUCUAAUCAGAGCUGUAGCUGCCAGCCUAUGCCACAACCAUAGCCACACCAGAUGUGAGCUGCGUCUUCAACCUACACCACAGCUCACGGCAACGCCAGAUCUCUAACCCACUAAGUGAGGCCAAGGAUCAAACUCAAACCUCAUGGUUCCCAGUCAGAUUUGCUUCUGCUGCACCAAAACGGCAACUCCAACCAUAUUUUUAUUUUUUAUUUUUUGUCUUUUUAGGGCUGCACUCUCAGCAUAUGGAAGUUCCCAGGCUAGGGGCUUAAUUGGAGCUACAGCUGCCGGCCUAUAUCACAGCCACAGCAAUGCAGGAUCCAAGCCUCAUCUGUGACCUACACCACAGCUCAUGGCAACGCUGGAUCCUUAACCCACUUAGCGAGGCCAGGGAUCGAACCUGCAACUUUAUGGUUCCUAGUCGGACACAUUUCCGAUGCACCACGAUGGGAAUUCCUAAGGGAAAUGAUUGGAAACUGAAUGGAGAAAGAAAGGAGGGGAAAAUUUUAAGAACUACAGAGAACUAGACAACAGGCUUCGUGAUUGCCCAAAUGAAGGGGUGAGGAAAAAAAUAACUCUCAGGUUGCUGGUUGGAAAGGAGUGAUAAUUAUUAGUUUCCUUUUACAGAAAAGGACACAAAGGCCUGGAAACACAAAAUAAGUUGUCCAAAGUCAUAGUUUGUUAAAAGCAGAAUUAGAACUUAAACGCCAGACUCAUGACUCAAAUUCUGUACUCUUUCAACUACAUCAAGAAAAAAUAUUAUCUUACAUUUAUAUAGCACUCCAUAAUUUACAGAGUGUUUUUGCAUACAUUAUUUCACUUGAUACUCAUAACAAUCUAUGCAUUAAACAGGAAGAUAUCAUUUUACUGAUGAGUACACUUAAGGAGAGUGAGAAAAAUGAUGCAACUUCUUAAAAUCUUCAGAUAAAGAACUGCUGGAUUUUAGAAGACACUUAUGGUGGGAAGUGAGAUUCGAAUGAUGAACUUGGAAUUACCACUACUGUUGCAUG
rnacentral:lncRNA from 1 species